rnacentral:rRNA from 1 species
GACGAACGCUGGCGGCGUGCUUAACACAUGCAAGUCGAACGCUGAAGCCCUUCGGGGUGGAUGAGUGGCGAACGGGUGAGUAACACGUGGGUAAUCUACCCUGCACUCUGGGAUAAGCCUUGGAAACGGGGUCUAAUACCGGAUAGGACACAUCGCCGCAUGGUGUGUGUGUGGAAAGUUCCGGCGGUGCAGGUUGAGCCCGCGGCCUAUCAGCUUGUUGGUGGGGUGAUGGCCUACCAAGGCGACGACGGGUAGCCGGCCUGAGAGGGUGACCGGCCACACUGGGACUGAGACACGGCCCAGACUCCUACGGGAGGCAGCAGUGGGGAAUCUUGCGCAAUGGGCGAAAGCCUGACGCAGCAACGCCGCGUGGGGGAUGACGGCCUUCGGGUUGUAAACCUCUUUCGACCGGGACGAAGGAUUCGUUUGACGGUACCGGUAGAAGAAGCACCGGCUAACUACGUGCCAGCAGCCGCCGUAA